rnacentral:rRNA from 1 species
AUACGUAGGGUGCAAGCGUUAAUCGGAAUUACUGGGCGUAAAGCGUGCGCAGGCGGUUUUGUAAGACAGAGGUGAAAUCCCCGGGCUCAACCUGGGAACUGCCUUUGUGACUGCAAGGCUAGAGUACGGCAGAGGGGGAUGGAAUUCCGCGUGUAGCAGUGAAAUGCGUAGAUAUGCGGAGGAACACCGAUGGCGAAGGCAAUCCCCUGGGCCUGUACUGACGCUCAUGCACGAAAGCGUGGGGAGCAAACAGGAUUAGAUACCCUGGUAGUCCACGCCCUAAACGAUGUCAACUGGUUGUUGGGUCUUCAUUGACUCAGUAACGAAGCUAACGCGUGAAGUUGACCGCCUGGGGAGUACAGCCGCAAGGUUGAAACUCAAAGGAAUUGACGGGG